rnacentral:rRNA from 1 species
UACGAAGGGGGCUAGCGUUGUUCGGAAUUACUGGGCGUAAAGCGCGCGUAGGCGGCUUUGCAAGCCAGAGGUGAAAUGCCUGAGCUCAACUUAGGAAUUGCCUUUGGGACUGCAAGGCUUCGAGGACUGGAGGGGUGAGUGGAAUUCCCAGUGUAGAGGUGAAAUUCGUAGAUAUUGGGAAGAACACCAGUGGCGAAGGCGGCUCACUGGCCAGUUUCUGACGCUAAAGUGCGAAAGCGUGGGGAUCAAACAGG